rnacentral:lncRNA from 1 species
AUGGUCAAGAGGAGAGAGACCUCCAGCUGUCCCCAGACCCCCUUGCCCAGCCCCAGCACAGCCCCUCACAUGGCUACGACGAUGCUAUGGCUGUGCCAGAGGUGUCCCCCUCUCCCCACACCUGGGAUGCCCCGGCACAACACGCUGAGGACACGAGCUACGAUGACGCUGCUGUCAGCAUCCUGGGGACAUCGCUGUGAGCAGGCCCCGAGGAUAUGGCUCUGUCUGGAAGAAGGUGUGGCUCUGGCCGUGGCAGCAUCACCUCUCCCUGCCUGGCACUGCAGAACAGUAGCAAACUGCUCCAUUCUCCUUCCUGCACCUGCAACACAACAGCUUAUCAGCUUUUUCAAAAUUAUUUUCUGUAACUCUUUCCUUAUGAGUAUCUCAUCUUUAUUAAAACCCCUAAUCUGUGUGGAAACUCACUUCCAGCCUUGUCUCCUCUACCUGAGUCUAUCAGCCUUCCCUCAGGGCUGUGGGGCAAACCUGGAUUUCAGAGACACCCGCCUUGGCGCUUGGCACUGGGGAAACAAAGGAAAGAGUGGGAAAGCUCAUGGAGAUGAGGUGGGAUGGCUCCCAGGACUGCUGCACUGCAGGGGAAGGAUAACAAGGACCGCGUGUCCCACAGGCACACAGGUGCUCCUCUACCUGAGUCUAUGAGCAUUCCCCCAUGGCAUGGGGGAAACAACAGAAACAGUGGGAAAGCUCAUGGAGACGAGCUUGACUCUCCCAUGACUGCUGCACUGCAGGGGAAGGAUAACAAGGACCGUGUGUCCCACAGGCACACAGGUGCAGGCACGCUGCCACACGCUGUGGUUUCACCCGGCAGGCAGCUGAGCAGCACCCGGCCGUUCGUUCACUCCGACCCUGCCCCCAGUGUGCAAUGCGGGAGAGAGCUGUAGAGAAACCCUUGAUAUACAAACAGAAAAGGAAAACAGUCACAGACAUUCAGAUGAUAAUCGUACAUGGAUGUAUCUCCACACAAAUUCACAGCCUUUGCACAGAGGUUUUGAGAAGCAAACCUGAGUAAGCUGACUCUCACCCUGCGCUUGCUGGUAGGAUCUCCUCUUCUGAGGACACCUCUGUUGUGGGUGGGAAGAGGACACAUGGUAAAGAGCUCCCUCUGAAACAAGAGACAUCGUAUCAGGGGCCUGAGUCACCUCCUGCACCUGUCUGUUCCUGUAUUCUGUAAGGACCUGCAGUGGCUGAGGGCAGGAUUCACAUCCCUGCUGUAUGUUCCUGAUGGAAGGUGCCAAGCAGCCAUCCCUGGAGUUUUCAUUAAGUCUUUGAACAGGUUGUCCUUCCUCAUCUGCUCUAUGCCAGUGCUGUGUGCCACUGCCAGGAGGAAUGGCGGCCUCCUGGCUGGCAGCGCUUGUCCCUCCCGAGCAGGCCAGGCCUUCCCACCGGGGCCUCUCAGCUGGGCCCUGAGCCCUGCUGCAGUGCCGCCUGGUGCUGCCUGCAGAGAUGGAGGCUGGCCCUGCUGAGCCCUGCUCUGGGGCUCCUGCUGCCUCAUGGGCCCUGCUCCGGAAGGCUGGUAGCCCGUGUUGGUGCUCUCGUGUCAGGGCAGGGCCAGAGCUCUGUAACAUGAGUACAAUAAGGCAGAAGCAAUGCCCAGGACCCUGCUGGCAUCCCUGUCCUGCACAUUGCAUUCCCGCACCCU